UCCUCUUUGAAUGUACGGUGUUCUUUCGCCAUGUUAGUCUUUUCAUUCACGUUUCACAAAGGUUUCAGUGAACUCGGCGAAGGGAGAAAAGUCAUGUAGCAAUAAAUCAGCGCAUGACUCUCGUUUGAAUAUGCGCGCAGUACAAUUUCUUAUCCAGUCCUUCUCUGGCGGGUAAUCCAUAAUGGCGGACGACGUGAGAGUGUUUUUAUUAAUUCUCUAGGGAUAAACCAAAACGGUUGUUUGUUAUUUAAAAAAAACGUUUAGAUUCAGUUUCUCAAUUAAAGCUCUUUGUUCAUUGCUCCAUAAUGGCAGAGAAGAAUUCGAAAGGGAAGAAGCGAAAAUGGGAACCAGUAGAAUUGGACGAUCCUUCGUUCUUUGCGGGCGAAAUGGAUGGAUUUAUGUCCCUUGAAGUCAUGGAAGAUUAUCAUCCAGAAGAGCUAGCAGGAAUUGGUGCAGGUGGACCAGCUCAGAAGAAGAAAAUAAAAGAAUGGCCGCUGUAGGAGUGUCGCUGAUGGACAAAGUUGGGCUGCAGAAGAACAGUUGUAAAAUUAUCGAUGUCACCAACAAGAGAGGAACCGUAGAAACCCUGACAGAAGCAAAGAUCUCAUGUGCAAUUGAAGAGAUUUAAGCAAAGUGCGAGUGGCUUACUUCUGGCUACAGAUGUGGCCACGAGAGGUUUGGACAUACCAGCUGUCACUAUCAAGUUCCGAAGGACCUUGAUCUUUACAUUCACCGUAGUGGAAGGACAGCUAGAGCAAGCAGGGAAGGUCUGAGUGUCGUUCUUGUUGGCCCAGAAGAAAUGGGAUCAUACAAGAAAAUUAUGAAGACGCUUAAUGGAGAUUAAGGCGCAAAAAGUCAAGUAAUGACUGGAUACUUGCCUCUGCCAAAGCCAUGGACAUUGAAGUUGACGAAGAUUUACUGGAAGAUCUCGGAGAUCAGGGAGAAAGGAAAGAGCGACAAGUAAAGCUGAAGCAAUUGAAAGCGGAACUUACUGGUUUGCUGAAGACACCUCUGAUUCCUGCUGGUUUUAGUGGAAAGUACCCGACUAAAACUGGAUCCCUUAUAAUGCCAGGGAUCAAAGCCGAAACGAAUUUGGAAGAUAAUGAAAAAGUGGCUGUUGAAGAUGUAAGAAGAAAGAAAAGAAACAAGAAAAGCAAAACGUAACUUGCAUUCUUCAAACGAGGUCGACAACUGAUCGUGAAAGAAGAAGGGAGAUUAAAAACACGAAAUGGAGAAAGAUUCUUACUUGUAACAACUGGACUGGAAGAGAAAGAGUUGAUUUGAGCAAGGUUGACUAGUCAGUGGUAGAAUAAACUAAAAUCUCGUCUUAAAGUCUUUGACCCCGAUGCUAUAUGGAUACAAUGUAACUUGAAGCAAUGGCGUUCAUAUAUCUUCGGGACACCACCCUUCAGACUCGCGGUAUAAUACGACUGGACAAAGCAACUAGUCACAGUCUGACAACACAUGUCCACUUUGCGCAUUUUCUUGAUUUGUGAUUUGAAUUGAUUUACAGAUGUUUUGUUCUUUACUCAGUGGCCCGAAUUUAAAAGUUAGGAUUGUUUCAGUCACAUAUUGCCGUUGGUCAUAUGAAGAUUUCAAGAAUGGGUCGGAAAGGAACUGAAAACGCUGUUUUAAAGGGAAAUUAUUUUUCACAUGCUUGACAAAUGUUGUCCACAAACCUUUCGCUAGUUCAUAUAUAUAAAAAAAUUUUAAAAAAAUAUGUAGAUGUGUAGUAAGCAGGAGAUUCAGUAAAAGCCGGUCUACCGCCGUUUGUUGA